rnacentral:misc_RNA from 1 species
GAUGAAGAACGUAGCGAAAUGCGAUACGUAAUGUGAAUUGCAGAAUUCCGUGAAUCAUCGAAUCUUUGAACGCACAUUGCGCCCUCUGGUAUUCCGGGGGGCAUGCCUGUCCGAGCGUCAUUUGCAACCCUCAAGCCCGGCUUGUGUGAUGGGUGCCGUCCCCUACGGGACGCGCCCCGAAGGCAAUGGCGGCGUCGCGGUUAUCCGAUCAGCCAAAGUGUAUGGGGCUUUGUCACUCACUUUACGGCCCGGACCGGCGCCAGUCCGAAUCAAUCUUUUUUCUAAAGUUGACCUCGGAUCAGGUAGGGAUACCCGCUGAACUUAAGCAUAUCAAUAAGCGGAGGA